AAAGAGCUCGUAGGCGGUUUGUCGCGUCUGCUGUGAAAAUCCGAGGCUCAACCUCGGACCUGCAGUGGGUACGGGCAGACUAGAGUGCGGUAGGGGAGAAGGGAAUUCCUGGUGUAGCGGUGGAAUGCGCAGAUAUCAGGAGGAACACCGAUGGCGAAGGCACUUCUCUGGGCCGUAACUGACGCUGAGGAGCGAAAGCGUGGGGAGCGAACAGGAUUAGAUACCCUUGU
rnacentral:rRNA from 1 species